rnacentral:lncRNA from 1 species
AGCCUGGGGAUGUAGUGAUCUGUUAUAAAACUGGCCCCGCCAGGGAAAUGGAACGUUUUCUUUUUUCUUUCCUUUUUCUUUUUCUUUCUUUUUUUUUAGUGUAGUGACCUCUGACACUUCCCCCCCCCCAACCCCCCCCCCCCAACCCCUCGCCUAUCAAGCAAUCUGAGUCACCCACAGCAGGGGACAAAUGCUGGGGAUAGAGGAGGCGUCUAGCAUCCCUGGGAAUGAGAGUCCUUCCCCGCAGGAGUGUCCAUUAGAGCAGAGCCCCACUGAGUUAUUCUUAUGCCCUGUUUGACCCCAGGGGGAUGAGAUGGGUGGGGUUUACAGAAAAAAAAAAAACAAUUGGUUUCAACUAGUUCUACCAGUUUUUACCCCCUACAGUAAAACAUCACUUAACCAUUUUAACACGCCACAAAUUUCCCUUUGCAGAGACAAUGGGCUUUGGAGGAAUUUAUUGGUGGUAAGGAACAGACACACUUUUUACAAAGCCCUUAGUGCCCAACGCAUGCUAAAUAUUUUAUACCUAUUAUGUUAUUAUUUUUUUAAAAAAUAUUUUACUGUUAGGAAAAAAUAGGCUUUUCAUUUUCCAGGUGGGCAAACUGAGGCCCAGAGAAGUAAAGUGAUUUGUUCAAGGAGGGUGUGGAGCUGGGACUUGAACCCGGGGCCGGAAUUACCCCAGAACAUCAGCGGCAGCCGUAAUUUCGUGUGCAAACUUGCCUGAAGCCACCACCUAGGUGGCGAUGAGACACAGAUCUGCCCAUCUUUCACGAAACCUCAGACUCUGUUUUCUGGAGGCGCCACCUGAUCAUCCUCUGGUCCCCUGACAGCAGGGGCAGCUGCAGCCCAGGGCCUGUGACAGUGUCUGAGCCAGGACAGGAAGGGGCGGAGCUCAGCUUCACAGGCCUCUGUCCGUGGGUGUGGUGGAGCCCUAGAGAUUGUGAUGGGGGACCCUGUGUUCCAGUCGGUGGCCAGGAACCUUGGUCUCUUUCCUCCUCUUCCUUCUGUCCUGCAACAGCAUCCAGAUGCAGUCAGUCUUGAAGAGAACAUUUCCAUAGAAUUCUGCAUGACGCCUAUCCUCUCCAGGCCCCAGUCCAGCCUGAGCCACUUCCUCUUCCAGCUGGGAAGCUUCUUUCUUCUUCCCACUUCCUUCUACCUCCUUGGCCCCCACUGUUACUUAUUCAAUCCUAGCAAUGCUUUGAAGCUCAACUUAGAACCUGCCACCCAUGUUACAUGGAAGAAGCCAGACCUAAAAAGAGGACACUGUAAAUGA